UACACUCCUACGGGAGGCAGCAGUGGGGAAUUUUGGACAAUGGGCGAAAGCCUGAUCCAGCAAUGCCGCGUGAGUGAAGAAGGCCUUCGGGUUGUAAAGCUCUUUUGUCAGGGAAGAAACGGUGAAAGCUAAUAUCUUUUGCUAAUGACGGUACCUGAAGAAUAAGCACCGGCUAACUACGUGCCAGCAGCCGCGGUAAUACGUAGGGUGCAAGCGUUAAUCGGAAUUACUGGGCGUAAAGCGUGCGCAGGCGGUUUUGUAAGUCUGAUGUGAAAUCCCCGGGCUCAACCUGGGAAUUGCAUUGGAGACUGCAAGGCUAGAAUCUGGCAGAGGGGGGUAGAAUUCCACGUGUAGCAGUGAAAUGCGUAGAUAUGUGGAGGAACACCGAUGGCGAAGGCAGCCCCCUGGGUCAAGAUUGACGCUCAUGCACGAAAGCGUGGGGAGCAAACAGGAUUAGAAACCCCAGUAGUCCCAUGA
rnacentral:rRNA from 1 species